UACAGUCCGAACACGGGCCAAAUGCGCGCAGCACUUGUCUUUUCCUGCUUGUGCAGCCAUAUAGCACGUGCGACUGUUACCGCACCUCGACCAACUGUCUCCAGUUUCGGCUUCAGUCUCGAUUGCUCUGACUGACGCCAAGGCCACCGCACCACGCAGGUGGCACUAUUCAAAGGAGACCACGGAAUGGCCAAUGGCACCGUGAAAUGGUUCAACACCACCAAAGGUUUCGGCUUUAUUGCCCCAGAAGAUGGCGGCAAGGAUGUAUUCGUACACAUCUCGGCCGUCGAACGUGCAGGUCUGACCGGCCUGGCUGACGAUCAAAAAGUGACGUUCGACAUCGAAGACGGUCGUGACGGCCGCAGCAGCGCGACAAACAUCGCACUUGCCUAAGUGAGAGAUCAUGGGACGGCCUUUGGGGCCGUUCCCACCU
rnacentral:misc_RNA from 1 species